ACCGAGAUUCCCCCAGUAGCGGCGAGCGAACGGGGAGCAGCCCGGAGUCUGAAUCAGCUUGUGUGUUAGUGGAACGGUCUGGAAAGUCCGACGGUACAGGGUGAUAGUCCCGUACACGAAAACACACUUGCUGUGAACUCGAAGAGUAGGGCGGGACACGUGGUAUCCUGUCUGAAUAUGGGGGGACCAUCCUCCAAGGCUAAAUACUCCUGACUGACCGAUAGUGAACCAGUACCGUGAGGGAAAGGCGAAAAGAAC
rnacentral:rRNA from 1 species